CCCGCUGAAUUUAAGCAUAUUAAUAAGCGGAGGAAAAGAAACUAACAAGGAUUCCCCUAGUAAUGGCGAAUGAAGCGGGAACAGCUCAAAUUUAAAAUCUCCGUUGCUUGCAACGGCGAAUUGUAGUUUCGAGAAGCACUUUCUCGGCGGAUCCGAGGUCGUCCAAGUUGCUUGGAACAGCACGUCGUAGAGGGUGACAACUUUUUACCAUAUAAGAGUGAAAUGUUGAAUCACAUCUUGAAUAGCAUUUCAGGGCUGUGAACACUUCUUUUUAGUCUUCUGGAGGUUUUUUUCAAAGAACUCCUACCAAUGAUGAACACGAUUUUGGGGUAUUUUUAUCUGCUAGUUGUUUUAUGUUGUUAAGAAAAAAAUGUGGUUAACGUUUUCUGACAAAUCACAUUAAAAUAGACUAAAAUAUAGUAUUA
rnacentral:ncRNA from 1 species